rnacentral:rRNA from 1 species
GAUGAACGCUGGCGGCGUGCCUAAUACAUGCAAGUCGAGCGAACGGACGAGAAGCUUGCUUCUCUGAUGUUAGCGGCGGACGGGUGAGUAACACGUGGAUAACCUACCUAUAAGACUGGGAUAACUUCGGGAAACCGUAGCUAAUACCGGAUAAUAUUUUGAACCGCAUGGUUCAAAAGUGAAAGACGGUCUUGCUGUCACUUAUAGAUGGAUCCGCGCUGCAUUAGCUAGUUGGUAAGGUAACGGCUUACCAAGGCAACGAUGCAUAGCCGACCUGAGAGGGUGAUCGGCCACACUGGAACUGAGACACGGUCCAGACUCCUACGGGAGGCAGCAGUAGGGAAUCUUCCGCAAUGGGCGAAAGCCUGACGGAGCAACGCCGCGUGAGUGAUGAAGGUCUUCGGAUCGUAAAACUCUGUUAUUAGGGAAGAACAUAUGUGUAAGUAACUGUGCACAUCUUGAUGGUACCUAAUCAGAAAGCCACGGCUAACUACGUGCCAGCAGCCGCGGUAAUACGUAGGUGGCAAGCGUUAUCCGGAAUUAUUGGGCGUAAAGCGCGCGUAGGCGGUUUUUUAGUCUGAUGUGAAAGCCCACGGCUCAACCGUGGAGGGUCAUUGGAAACUGGAAAACUUGAGUGCAGAAGAGGAAAGUGGAAUUCCAUGUGUAGCGGUGAAAUGCGCAGAGAUAUGGAGGAACACCAGUGGCGAAGGCGACUUUCUGGUCUGUAACUGACGCUGAUGUGCGAAAGCGUGGGGAUCAAACAGGAUUAGAUACCCUGGUAGUCCACGCCGUAAACGAUGAGUGCUAAGUGUUUGGGGGUUUCCGCCCCUUAGUGCUGCAGCUAACGCAUUAAGCACUCCGCCUGGGGAGUACGACCGCAAGGUUGAAACUCAAAGGAAUUGACGGGGACCCGCACAAGCGGUGGAGCAUGUGGUUUAAUUCGAAGCAACGCGAAGAACCUUACCAAAUCUUGACAUCCUUUGACAACUCUAGAGAUAGAGCUUUCCCCUUCGGGGGACAAAGUGACAGGUGGUGCAUGGUUGUCGUCAGCUCGUGUCGUGAGAUGUUGGGUUAAGUCCCGCAACGAGCGCAACCCUUAAGCUUAGUUGCCAUCAUUAAGUUGGGCACUCUAAGUUGACUGCCGGUGACAAACCGGAGGAAGGUGGGGAUGACGUCAAAUCAUCAUGCCCCUUAUGAUUUGGGCUACACACGUGCUACAAUGGACAAUACAAAGGGCAGCGAAACCGCGAGGUCAAGCAAAUCCCAUAAAGUUGUUCUCAGUUCGGAUUGUAGUCUGCAACUCGACUACAUGAAGCUGGAAUCGCUAGUAAUCGUAGAUCAGCAUGCUACGGUGAAUACGUUCCCGGGUCU